ACGCUCGACACCUACGGGAGGUAGCAGUGGGGAAUAUUGCACAAUGGGGGAAACCCGUGAUGCAGCGACGCCGCGUGGAGGAAGAAGGUCUUCGGAUUGUAAACUCCUGUUGUUGGGGAAAAAGAGGAUGGUACCCAACAAGGAAGUGACGGCUAACUACGUGCAAGCAGCCGCGGUAAUCUGAGCGGGCUGGCAAGGC
rnacentral:rRNA from 1 species